rnacentral:rRNA from 1 species
UACGUAGAGCGCAAGCGUUAUCCGGAAUUAUUGGGCGUAAAGAGCUCGUAGGCGGCUUGUCGCGUCGACUGUGAAAACCCGAGGCUCAACUUCGGGCUUGCAGUCGAUACGGGCAGGCUAGAGUGCGGUAGGGGAGACUGGAAUUCCUGGUGUAGCGGUGAAAUGCGCAGAUAUCAGGAGGAACACCGGUGGCGAAGGCGGGUCUCUGGGCCGUAACUGACGCUGAGGAGCGAAAGCGUGGGGAGCGAACAGG